rnacentral:rRNA from 1 species
AUUGAACGCUGGCGGCAGGCCUAACACAUGCAAGUCGAGCGAGAGGCGGACGGGGGUGUAAUGUAUGGGGACUGCCCGAUAGAGGGGGAUAACUACGGGAAACGGUAGCUAAUACCGCAUACUAUCGGAUAACCCAUAUGUGAUUAGCUAGUAGGUGAGGUAAUGGCUCACCUAGGCGACGAUCCCUCGCUGGUCUGAGAGGAUGAUAAGCAACACUGGGACUGAGACACGGCCCAGAAUCCUACGGAGGCAGCAUUGGGGAAUAGUGCACAAUGGGCGCAAGCCUGAGGCAGCCAUGCCGCGUGUAUGAAGAAGGCCCUAGGGUUGUAAAGUACUUUCAUUCGGGAGGCGUUACCGACAGAAGAAGCACCGGCUAACUCCGUGCCAGCCGCCGCGGUAAUAC